UACGGAGGGAGCUAGCGUUGUUCGGAAUUACUGGGCGUAAAGCGCACGUAGGCGGCUUUGUAAGUUAGAGGUGAAAGCCCAGUGCUCAACACUGGAACUGCCUUUAAGACUGCAUCGCUUGAAUCCAGGAGAGGUGAGUGGAAUUCCGAGUGUAGAGGUGAAAUUCGUAGAUAUUCGCAAGAACACCAGUGGCGAAGGCGGCUCACUGGCCCGGUACUGACGCUGAGGUGCGAAAGCGUGGGGAGCAAACAGG
rnacentral:rRNA from 1 species